GUUUUCGUAAAAUACACAAAAUGUAUACUACAAAACACCAUAAUAACACUCGAGUUUAUGUUUUGUAAAAGCGUUUCUUUUUCUACCAACAUUUUUGCUCAGAUCAUCAACUUCGGGGAUAGUUUUGGAAAAACAAUACCUAUCUAGUUGAUAAACUGUGAAGGUCAUUUUUUAAAUUUUCUUAAUAAUUAUGAAAAAUCGAGAAAAACUGGGAUAAUAGAUCUAUUAAUCUAUUAACUACGAUUUUGUGUAAUUCAGUUCAAAAAAAUCACAAAUACCUGAAAUUUGUACCUAAUCCUCAUAUAAUCUCUUUCUAGACAUUAUAAAAUUUGAAUAAUGUUCCUAAUAUGCAUAAUAAUUAU